CCUCGCUGGCUGCUGGCUUCCGGGUGCAGCUCCUCCUUAACCAGUGCGAAAGGUUUCCAGUAGCCUUAGCCUCCUAUGCCUUGGCCAGUGUCCAUAGUCACUGAUGAUAGAGGAGAAGUGAGAAAACAACGCAGAAAAUCUGCAGGCCGAGGACUUGGACUCCAACGUCGUGUGCACCAUUGGCCAGGAUAGUUGUUACUGGAGGGCUGUGAGCUUUCAAGGUUCCAUGCUGGCCCCUCUUGUUCCAUGACUCACUGAGUUUAACCAGGCUGUCUUACUGACCACGAGUAACCGACCCAUCCAGUGGAGGCUGCUGGGGUCACCACUGACUACACAAGCCAAGAGCCUGACUCCUCCUCCCCCAGGAUCCACUCACGAGCAGCCAGCAGUUCAGCUGCUCACCCUUCUGGCUGUCUGUACAUUCCAGAAUGUACAGAGCCCCUGCAGGGAACCGCUGGUGCCGUGAGAUCGUGCCUGCGACGGAUAGGUUGUGCCUAGAAGACAGCAUCUCCUAGCCGUUCUUCCUGUUUUCUGCCUCUGAUGUUCUUUCUGCCCCCUCUUCCACCAUAUCCCCAGAGCCUGGAGGUGUGAUGCCAAAGUUCUGUCCCUAAAACCUGGAGGGGGGAUGUCAAUGUUCUGUUUAAGGCUGAGCACUCAACUGAGGUUGAUGUGUUUAAAAUAAAUUUUGAAAGUUAUUUUGAAAUAUCCUUAGAUCUACAGGGAAGUUGUAGAAAGCAAUGUUCUGCAUGCCCAGCACCCGGGUUCCCUAAUGAAGAUUUUGGCAUCCAUGUUAAAUUAUUAAAACAGGCUAAAAGCAGA